ensembl:lncRNA CD99P1 CD99 molecule pseudogene 1
ACUCGCGGACGAUCUCUGCUCGCCUUGGGCGCGCCGUGGCGCGCGGGGCCGUGCUGGCGCUGCGGCUCCUCGGCCUGCUCCGCCGUCUGGUGGCCGCCCCGGGCUGACUUUGACUUAGCGAUGCCUUUCCUGAUGGAGGAAACAGUGACCCAGCACCACCUAAUGCCCCCAAACCAAAGCCAGAUCCAAACCCCAACCGACCUGGUUUCACUGGUGACCCAGCACCACCUAAUCCCCCCAAACCAAAGCCAGAUCCAAAUCCCAACUGACCUGGUUUCACUGAUAAGAGCCUCUAACCCUACGGGGUGGUCUCUAUGUUGUUUACCUGGCAGUGAUGUCCGUGUCAUCUGAGAAGAGGAGAUUUCAGGGGCUGACUUUGACUUAGCAGAUGCCUUUCGUGAUGGAGGAAAUAACGACCCAGCACCUCUUAAUUCACCCAAGCUGAAGCCAAAUGCGAACCCUGAGCAGCCUGGAUUCAUUGACGAGCCAGCACCACUGAACCCACCCAAACCAAAGCCAAAUCCAAACCCCAAGCAGCCUGAUUCCACCGGGGAUGACUUUGAUUUCACAGAUGUUUCUUCAUGGUGAACGAAACAGGGAGUUGCCUCGAUUCUGAUGUGUUUGCUUCGGUGCUCUGUGUAUUGUAUUCAUCCCACUCUUCAAUUCAUAAACUCUGGAGAUUCUUCAAUUCACUGGGCAAACCAUAUGCCUAAGUCUAUCCUCUGAUGGAGGCUCGUACAUGCAAAAUCCAAUAGCAACCUGGGAAGAUUUCAGUCAAGACCCAAGAGGAGGCUGGCAUCAGGCUCUCGGUCACCGAUCUUCACAUUCAGGUUUCCUGAUGCACUUUGCGACUCUUUGGGCAACCUCUGGACUCCUUGUUCCCAGGGUCCACAUUUAGUUUUAUCUUUACUGCAUUGCUUUUAUGAAAAAGAAUAAAAUUGGAUGAAACAGA